AAAAAAGGGCUUGUGAGUCGAGUCAUGUGUAAAAUCGAAAAUGAAAGUUAGUUCCGUCCUAACUUCCGGUCGGAGGAGGCUGCCGCGGCUCUGCAGUUCUGUACACCAAUAUGUCUUUCUUCAAAAUUCCGGGAGGAACAAAAACACAGGUUUUCUCAAUCAAUGAAAGUAGGAAAUUCUUGGAUGUCCAAAGUAAGAUUGAGGAACGGUUGAAGAAACGCGUUCAGCUCCAUCAAGUGGCUUCAGAGGAUUAUUGUGAUGUCAUCAUGGCUUUUGUACCCAUUGUGUCCCGGGCUGGAACAGACAUUGCAGCUGCUCUUCGAAAUAUUCCAACAAAUCGGCCUGUCAUCCUCGUGGUGCUCCACCACACGUUUGAUGAAAAUCACAUUGCACCACAGAGCAAAGGGUGUGUGGAUAGGGAUGGUGUAUUUGCCGUAGACUUCCUCUGUCAUGAAGAUAAGGGACUGCUGGAAUGCUUGACCAAUGAGGAGGCACUGAAAUCCGUCAGUGAUUAUCUGGUCUCUAUGGACCCCAGUACCCCGCUUAUACCAGUUCAUCCACGGCCAUCCCAAAGAUGCUGUAUCUGUUUGGGUGUCUCUGCUUUUGUUGUUGUUGUUGUUGUUGUUAUUGGGCUAGUUAUUCCCUUUCUCAUUCCGAAAAGUGACGGACAUGGUGACACUCAAACUACGGUGAUACCUCCUAUAACUGUAACUACACAUCAGUCUAACAUAACUGUAACUACACAUCAGCGUAACAUAACUGUAACUACACAGCAGUCUAAGAUAACUGUAGCUACACAGCAGCGUAAGAAACGAUCCCUUCAGAGAGGCCGAGGCUAAUUCAUUAGUUUGGUGAACACCCAAGACUGUUGGGUUCGAGAUGAAAAGAUGGAGAUGAAACGAGAGUUUAGGAUUUCAGCUUUUAUUUCCUGGUGUUUACAUCUAGACGUGUUAAACAUAAAACAUACAACCUUUUGUAUCAGACCACCCACUUUUUAGGUGAGCAAAAGUAUAGGAACAGAUAAGUCUUGAAGUAAAUGAAAGUAAAUAACACUUAACAUUCGGCUGCGUGUCCCUUGCUUGAAAAAACUCAUCAAACUGCAUCAGUCCUGUGACUCACUGACACUUGUGUUGCUUCUCCAGGUUUCUCCUGCAGUUUCUUUCAGUAGUUGUGUGUUUCGGGGGUUUCUCCCUUCAGUCUCCUCUUCAGGAGGUGAGAUGAUCAGUUGGGUGAAGGUCUGGUGAUGGACUUGUCCAGUCUAAAACCUUCCACUUUCCCCCUGAUGAAGUCCUGUGUUAGGGUGGAAGUGUGUUUUGGAUCGUUGUCUUGCUGCAUGAUGAAGUUCCUCUGAUUCAUUCGGAUGGAUUUCUCUGAAAUCUGCAGACAGAAUGGUCCUGUACAGUUCUGAAUUCAUUCUGCUGCUCCAUCAUGAGUUCAUCAAUAAAGAUCAGUGAGAAUGUUCCAGAAGCAGCCAUGCAAGUCCAAGCCAUGACACUACCUCCACCAUGUUUCACAGAUCAGCUUGUAUGUUCUGGAUCAUGAGCAGAUCCUUUCUUUCUCCACACUUUGGACUUUCCAUCACUUUGGUAGAGGUUCAUCUUGUUCCAGAACUUUUGUGGAUCAUCUCUGUAUUUCUUUGCCAAUUCCAAUUUGACUUUCUGACUCGUACUGCUGAUGACUGGUUUGCAUCUUGUGGUACGGCCUCGAUAUUUCUGCUCUCGAAGACUUCUUCAAACGGUGGCUUGUGAUGCCUUCAAUUCUGCCCUGUGGAGCUUGUUGGUGAUGUCACUGACUGUUGUUGUUGGGUUUUUCUUCACAGCUCUCUGUCAUCACCUGCUGUUGUUUUCCUUGACUGACCCGUUCGGUGUCUGUUCCUCAGUACACCAGCGGUUUCUUUCAUUUUCAUGACAUUCCAAAUUGUUGUAUUGGCUUUACCCAGUGUUUCUGCAAAGGCUUUGAUUGAUUUUCCCUCUUUCCCAGCUUCAAAAUGGCUCGCUUUUCUCCCCUAGACAGCUCUCCGAUCUUCAUGUUGGCUUAUCCUUUAUAACAACAUAUGCAGUCUUCACAGGUGAAACUGAAGAGUAGAUGUUCAGAGCUAUUUAUUGUUUAAACAGUCGAUCUAACAGGACACGCCUGGGGAACAAGAAACACCCGUCAGUCAUGUGUUCCCAUAUUUUUGCUCCCUUACAAAUUGGGUGGUCUGAUACAAAAUGCGCUAUGUUCUGUAUCUAUAUAUAAAUACCAGGAAAUAAAAGCUGAAAUUCUAAACUCUCUUCUCAUAUUCCUCUUUUAAUCUCAAAACCAAAUGUCUUCACUCUACAGCAAAAAAAAAUGAAUUGGCUUCGCCGUUCCAAUAUUUUUGGAGGGGGACUGUAACUGUGACUAUACAGCAGCUUAAUAUAAUGGUAAUAAACAUUAACUUAACGUACUGCCGAAUAAACAGCGGCCUAAUAUAACUCUAAUUAUACAGCAGCCUGACAUAAUGGCAACGAAAUAGCAACGUAAUCUAACUAUAACUGCACAACAAACAUAAAAUAAACACUAAUCUUUCUUCUAAAUACUUUUUAAAAUUUCAUCAAUUCUUUUGAAUCAGCAUCAUUUUCAUUACAGUAAAGAACUUUUCCUUUCAAACCUUACGAGUAUUUUGACAUCAAUCAUUCUGCAAUCAUCCUAACAUAUACUUUAUAUACAUAUAAAGGAUUCUUUGAUUAAUAAAGGUUUCAUGUAGAACCUUACAACAGAGAUUUUCUGUUUCUGAGAGGGUUCUAGGUUGAACCACUGUUAGGGUGUAGUAAAUGAAGAAUUGCUUACGCAAAACUAGUAUGACUUGAUAUUACCUUGUAAUUGUUCAUAAGUUUAAGAUUACCUCCACUAUAUUUAAUGUUACUCCACUAUAUUUUGUAGUUUCUAUAUUUAAUGCUUAUUAAAUGCACAGAACAUUAAAAUCGGAAACGAAGUCUGACAAGAAUGUAACAGAAUAUAACAAGACUGAAUCUGUGUGUAAAGACUUCAUGAAUGUUUGUUUCUAAUCAAUAAAAUUCUCAUACGCUUAUGCUAAAUGGUAAUGUGAUGUUUGUGAAAAUAAAACAAAUAAAAUAAAAAAUAAAAACCUUUAUAUGGCUGUGCAUGUUCACUGAGUAUAUAAUAAUGAAUUCUUGAGUAAAAUAUCACAACAUAAGUUUCAUGCAGUAAUACUAUAAUUUAUUAUUAUUAUUAGUAGUAGUAGUAGUAGUAAUAGUAUCAGCAGCAGUAUUUAAUUUAUUAUUUAAACCAUAUAAGAAUUUCUUGGCAUUAUGUGUACUUGAAAUCAUUACAUUCGCCUGAUAUAAUAAGGGUUAAUAUGAUACAAUAUCAAUUUUGAUGUGAUGUUUGUGAAAACUAAACUAAUACCACAAGACAAAAAACAAAAAAUCGCCACUUGAGUGCUUACAAUUUCCUCGGGGAUGGUGUUC
ensembl:lncRNA